rnacentral:rRNA from 1 species
UACGUAGGAGACGAGCGUUGUCCGGAAUUACUGGGCGUAAAGCGCGUGUAGGCGGAUGAGCAAGUCUGCUGUGAAAGCUCCUGGCUUAACCGGGAGUGGUCGGUGGAAACUGCUCGUCUGGAGGACGGUAGAGGUAGGUAGAAUUCCCGGUGUAGUGGUGAAAUGCGUAGAUAUCUGGAGGAACACCGGUGGCGAAGGCGGCAUUCUGGACCAUAACUGACACUGAGAGACGAAAGCCAGGGGAGCAAACGGG